GAUGAAGAACGCAGCGAAAUGCGAUAAGUAAUGUGAAUUGCAGAAUUCAGUGAAUCAUCGAAUCUUUGAACGCACCUUGCGCCCUUUGGCUAUUCCAAAGGGCAUGCCUGUUUGAGUAUCAUGAACACCUCAACUCUCAUGGUCUGCCAUGAUGAGCUUGGACUUUGGAGGUCUGCUGGCCUGUGGUCAGCUCCUCUCAAAUGAAUCAGCUUUCCGGUGUUUGGUGGCAUCAUGGGUGUGAUAAAUAUCUACGCUUGUGGUUUUCCACCAGGUAACCUUCAGUGAUGGGGGUUCGCUGGGGCUCAUAAAUGUCUCUCCUCAGCGAAGACAGCUUUGUGAAUGUUUGAUCUCAAAUCAGGUAGGACUACCCGCUGAACUUAAGCAUAUCAAUAAGCGGAGGA
rnacentral:misc_RNA from 1 species